GCAGGUAGCCUAGUGGUCAUGGCCAUGGACUUGCUUUUCAUUGAGUUGCAGGUUCAAGCCUUGACCCUGAUGCA